rnacentral:rRNA from 1 species
CUUACUUAGCUUGCUUUGUAAGUUUAGUGGCGGACGGGUGAGUAACACGUGAGCAACCUGCCCAGAAGAAAGGGAUAGCUCGGGGAAACUCGAAUUAAUACCAUAUGUGAUCCUGUGAAGCAUUUCGCGGGAAUGAAAGAUGCCUUCGGGUGUCACUUCUGGAUGGGCUCGCGGCCUAUCAGUUAGUUGGUGAGGUAACGGCUCACCAAGGCAAUGACGGGUAGCUGGUCUGAGAGGACGACCAGUCACACUGGAACUGAGACACGGUCCAGACACCUACGGGUGGCAGCAGUCGAGAAUCAUUCGCAAUGGGGGAAACCCUGACGGUGCGACGCCGCGUGGAGGAUGACGGUCUUCGGAUUGUAAACUCCUGUCAUCGAAGAGUAAGGCUUAUGUAUUAAUAGUAUGUAAGAUUGAUAGUAUUCGAAGAGGAAGGGACGGCUAACUUCGUGCCAGCAGCCGCGGUAAUACGAAGGUCCCAAGCGUUGUUCGGAAUCACUGGGCGUAAAGGGAGCGUAGGCGGUGAGGUAAGUCAGAUGUGAAAUUCCAGGGCUCAACCCUGGAACUGCAUCCGAUACUGCCUUACUAGAGUAGUGGAGGGGCAUCUGGAAUUCACGGUGUAGCAGUGAAAUGCGUAGAGAUCGUGAGGAACACUAGUGGCGAAGGCGAGAUGCUGGACACUUACUGACGCUGAGGCUCGAAGGCCAGGGUAGCGAAAGGGAUUAGAUACCCCUGUAGUCCUGGCAGUAAACGGUGCACGUUUGGUGUGAGAAGGUUCGACCCUUUUCGUGCCGGAG